CAUGCAAGUCGUACGAGAAAGUUUGCUUCGGCAAAUGAGUAAAGUGGCGCACGGGUGAGUAACGCGUGGAUAAUUUGCCCUUUAGCCGGGAAUAACUCAUCGAAAGGUGGGCUAAUACCCGAUAACACUGCUUUUACCCCGGUGAAGCAGUCAAAGACAGCCUCUGUUUACAAGCCUUCACUAAAGGAUGAGUCCGCGUACCAUUAGCUUGUUGGUAGGGUAAUGGCCUACCAAGGCUACGAUGGCUAGCUGGUCUGAGAGGAUGAUCAGCCACACUGGAACUGAGACACGGUCCAGACUCCUACGGGAGGCAGCAGUGAGGAAUCUUGCGCAAUGGGGGAAACCCUGACGCAGCAACGCCGCGUGGAGGAUGAAGGUCUUCGGAUUGUAAACUCCUGUCAGAGGAGACGAAAGCCCGAGCAAUCGGGUUGGACGG
rnacentral:rRNA from 1 species